rnacentral:rRNA from 1 species
CACGGGGGGAGCAAGCGUUGUUCGGAAUCACUGGGCGUAAAGGGUGCGUAGGCGGGUCUUUAAGUCAGGGGUGAAAUCCUGGAGCUCAACUCCAGAACUGCCUUUGAUACUGAAGAUCUUGAGUUCGGGAGAGGUGAGUGGAACUGCGAGUGUAGAGGUGAAAUUCGUAGAUAUUCGCAAGAACACCAGUGGCGAAGGCGGCUCACUGGUCCGAUACUGACGCUGAGGUGCGAAAGCGUGGGGAGCAAACAGG